rnacentral:rRNA from 1 species
GUGGGGAAUCUUGCACAAUGGGCGAAAGCCUGAUGCAGCGACGCCGCGUGGGGGACGAAGGCCCUCGGGUUGUAAACCCCUUUCGGCAGGGAAGAAGCGCAAGUGACGGUACCUGCAGAAGAAGCUCCGGCUAACUACGUGCCAGCAGCCGCGGUAAGACGUAGGGAGCGAGCGUUGUCCGGAUUCAUUGGGCGUAAAGCGCGCGUAGGCGGUUUGGUAAGUCGGAUGUGAAAUCCCGAGGCUCAACCUCGGGACUGCAUCCGAUACUGCCCGACUAGAGGUAGGUAGGGGAGAUCGGAAUUCCUGGUGUAGCGGUGAAAUGCGCAGAUACCAGGAGGAACACCGGUGGCGAAGGCGGAUCUCUGGGCCUUACCUGACGCUGAGGCGCGAAAGCUAGGGGAGCGAACAGGAUUAGAAACCCGUGUAGUCC